rnacentral:rRNA from 1 species
UACGAAGGGGACUAGCGUUGUUCGGAAUCACUGGGCGUAAAGCGCACGUAGGCGGAUUUGUAAGUCAGGGGUGAAAUCCCGGGGCUCAACCUCGGAACUGCCUUUGAUACUGCGAGUCUUGAGUCCGAUAGAGGUGGGUGGAAUUCCUAGUGUAGAGGUGAAAUUCGUAGAUAUUAGGAAGAACACCAGUGGCGAAGGCGGCCCACUGGAUCGGUACUGACGCUGAGGUGCGGAAGCGUGGGGAGCAAACAGG